rnacentral:rRNA from 1 species
GACGAACGCUGGCGGCGUGCUUAACACAUGCAAGUCGAACGGAAAGGCCCUGCUUUUGUGGGGUGCUCGAGUGGCGAACGGGUGAGUAACACGUGAGUAACCUGCCCUUGACUUUGGGAUAACUUCAGGAAACUGGGGCUAAUACCGGAUAGGAGCUCCUGCUGCAUGGUGGGGGUUGGAAAGUUUCGGCGGUUGGGGAUGGACUCGCGGCUUAUCAGCUUGUUGGUGGGGUAGUGGCUUACCAAGGCUUUGACGGGUAGCCGGCCUGAGAGGGUGACCGGCCACAUUGGGACUGAGAUACGGCCCAGACUCCUACGGGAGGCAGCAGUGGGGAAUAUUGCACAAUGGGCGGAAGCCUGAUGCAGCAACGCCGCGUGCGGGAUGACGGCCUUCGGAUUGUAAACCGCUUUCGCCUGUGACGAAGCGUGAGUGACGGUAAUGGGUAAAGAAACACCGGCGAACUACGU